rnacentral:lncRNA from 1 species
ACCACCUGCUGGUGCCUCCAUCCUUGGCUCUCAGCAUAACAUUACAACCAUGCACCUAACAGGUGUUUCCAAAGCUCUCUCCAGCCCUGUGUUUACAAGCUCACUUAUUUGUGCAAUAGUUUUGAAUGCUUUGGGAUACUUUUCAUUUAAGGAAAAAAGCAACAAAACCUAAUUGCCCGUGAUGGAAAAUAACCCACUUCACAGACACAGAAAUGUGCUAAAAGGCAAGUUGUGUUUCUUUCUUGUAUCUAAGGAAAUGGUCCCACUGAGGCCCAAGACUUGACAGUGGAAGUCUUGCCAAUUUAAAGUCUAAUGAAGAUUGUGAAUUAUUGACUGGCACAAGUAGAGCUUCCUGCACUCAAUGAUGGACAACUGAAGGCCUGUGCUAGCACUCUGUUUGGUACUUAGGAGAGGAACACCAAAUUUGAUGACUGUCUACACAAAGUACCUUCAUAAGACCCCAAAAUAAGAUGUGAAUUCUCUGCCUCUGUCUCUUCAAUCCACAAAACUGGCUUCUCUUCAAUCCACAAAACUGGCUG